rnacentral:rRNA from 1 species
UACGGGGGGGGCAAGCGUUGUUCGGAAUUACUGGGCGUAAAGGGCUCGUAGGCGGCCAACUAAGUCAAACGUGAAAUCCCUCGGCUUAACCGGGGAACUGCGUCUGAUACUGGAUGGCUUGAGUUUGGGAGAGGGAUGCGGAAUUCCAGGUGUAGCGGUGAAGUGCGUAGAUAUCUGGAGGAACACCGGUGGCGAAGGCGGCAUCCUGGACCAACACUGACGCUGAGGAGCGAAAGCCAGGGGAGCAAACGGG